GGAUUAGAUACCCUGGUAGUCCACACCGUAAACGCUGUCUACUAGCUGUUUGUGUAUUUAAUACGUGAGUAGCGAAGCUAACGCGCUAAGUAGACCGCCUGGGGAGUACGGCCGCAAGGUUAAAACUCAAAUGAAUUGACGGGGGCCCGCACAAGCGGUGGAGCAUGUGGUUUAAUUCGAUGCAACGCGAAGAACCUUACCUACACUUGACAUGCAGAGAAGUUAGCAGAGAUGCUUUCGUGCCUUCGGGAACUCUGACACAGGUGCUGCAUGGCUGUCGUCAGCUCGUGCCG
rnacentral:rRNA from 1 species